rnacentral:rRNA from 1 species
UGGGGAAUAUUGCACAAUGGGGGAAACCCUGAUGCAGCGACGCCGCGUGAACGAAGAAGGUAUUCGUAUCGUAAAGUUCUGUCCUAUGGGAAGAUAAUGACAGUACCAUAGAAGAAAGCUCCGGCUAAAUACGUGCCAGCAGCCGCGGUAAUACGUAUGGAGCGAGCGUUGUCCGGAAUUAUUGGGCGUAAAGGGUAGGCAGGCGGUUUAAUAAGUCGAAUGUUAAAGAUCGGGGCUCAACCCCGCAAAGCAUUGGAAACUGAUAAACUUGAGUAGUGGAGAGGAAAGUGGAAUUCCUAGUGUAGUGGUGAAAUACGUAGAUAUUAGGAGGAAUACCAGUAGCGAAGGCGACUUUCUGGACACAAACUGACGCUGAGGUACGAAAGCGUGGGGAGCAAACAGG